rnacentral:rRNA from 1 species
UCCGGUUGUCUGCCGGAGGCGACCGCUUUUGGAGUUCGAUUAAGCCAUGCGAGUCGCGAGCCUUAGGGGCUCGGCAUACUGCUCAGUAACACGUGGAUAACCUGCCCUAUUGUCUGGAAUAACCUCGGGAAACUGAGAACAAGGCCGGAUAGCCCACAAUGCCUGGAACGGUUUGUGGGUGAAGCAUACAGUAGGAUGGGUCUGCGGCGUAUCAGGUUGUAGGGGGUGUAAUGGACCUCCUAGCCAUCGACGCGUACGGGUGUUGGGAGACAUAGCCCGGAGAUGGAUUCUGAGACACGAAUCCAGACCCUACGGGGUGCAGCAGGCGCGAAAACUUCAACACUGCAGGAAACUGUGAUGAGGGAACUCCAAAGUGCUAUCCACUUAUGUGGUAGCUUUUCUUGGACUAUUAAUCCGGCCAUGGAAUACACGGGCCUGGAAAAGACCGGG